UCUAUUAGGGGAAAAAAAGGACAGCCCACUUAAUUUUUGUGGUGCGAAUAACAAAACCUAACUGUCUACUCCUCGAAUUCUCAGUCUUCUCUUAUCUCAUUUUCCCUCUCAAAAAAACUCUCUCCGUCUCAGUCUACUGAAAAUCCAAGGAGAAAAAUUAAACCCUAGACUUCGAUUUCACGAUCCAAAUCAAGAGAAAUUGAACCAUAAACUUUCGAUUUUGUUCUUUAACAUUCUGUUUUCAUUUGUUUCUAAUCAUAAUCAGUGUGUUAAUACACUUCGAUUUCAUGGAGAAAAUUGAAUUUCGACUUCAUUUAGAAUGUUGCAGGUUAUCGUUUCGAACUUGUAGCAUUGAAGAAAAAGUUUCUGAGCUACCUAGGGGUUGUUACAUGUCUUGCACUAGAUGCUACCUACAUUUGGCAGGAUAACCAUUAAUUUUGAUUCAGUUAAACUAGAGAUGAACGACAAAGGCAUGAUCCUGAGGGGAUAUUGGAAUGCCGUCAUCUGCAGAUUGAGUUUUGGCAUGUAUUUAUUUAUUUUUUGGUGAAGGUGAAUGGGUAAUUAAUUCUGCUGGGGCAAACUUCACUCCACAUGUGGUUCAUGUCAAUACAGAAGAGAAUGUUGCUGGAAAAAUAUUCGCGUUUUCACAAAAGAGUCCUCGGGCAAUUUGCAUUCUCUCAGCAAAUGGAGUCAUUUCAAAUGUUACCAUUCGCCAUCCAUGUACGUCUGGUGGUAUGUCGACAUAUGAGGGUCUUUCGAAAUACUAUCUUUAUGUGGGUCUUUCUCGUUCGUUGUUGAGGGUGUUGGAUUACGUACUAGAACUGGUGGGUUGAGUGUCUCGCUGGCUGGUGCUGAUGGUCGUGUUAUCGGUGGAGGGGUUGCUGGUUUGUUAACCGCUGCUAGUCCCAUCCAGGAAAAUUUCUUCCUGGUUGCUACACGCUUAUAGUGUCGGAGACACUAUCCGGAGAAUUACAGACAAUUUGCGAUGAACGUAAUAUCUGACACUGCAAACCCUAAUACGUGCCACCAAAGCGUUCCGGAGUCAGAGAUAGACUAUAUUGGAUGUAUGAAAUGAUGUUACACUAGAAUAUCUGACACUGCAAACCCUCAUUACUACCGUAUCUUACUCAAUGGCCAAAAUUUUCAACAUAAUUAUAUCCCCAGCAGCUACCCAAACUCACAUCAUGUGAUAGAGGUUGAAGUGAUCCAACACUACAAUAUGUCUUUCUUUCAAACUGAGCUUACAAAUGACCUUUGAAUAUUACUAGCUAUCCAUGAUUAUGAUUUGCAAAUUUGUCCGUGUAUGUUCUUACUUAUUGUCUGUUAUCUUUGUGCUUAACUUUAUAUAUCUGCUUAUUUCAGACAGGGUCUUCUGGUCAGCUUGGGGUCUGAUUUUAAUUCAGAACUGUGAGUAUGGUGCGUAAACACUGAUUUUCUUUUCCUUACAGGAAUGGGAUAACAGAGUCGAUUGUGCUAAUGGAUGAAGAAGAGCUUAAGGAGUGGGUUGCGCAGGUUGAGCUUGGUCUUCUCUUUACUUUUGUUUCUAUGCCUGAGGGUGGGAACGAUCUCAUGCAAAUAUGUUUUAGGUUGUUUGGCACACACAGCUUGUGUAAUGAUGCUGGAUGAAGUUUCCUUUCCUGUUCUUUUGGUUGAUGAUUGAGAUUUCCCAUUUUGGAACAGAAAUUGCAACUUGAAAUUGCAUUUACAGUUUAUACUAGAACUUUUAUUCAUGUAAGGAGCUUUAUAUCAGUAUGUUUGGUCUUUAAAUUGAUAAACUCAGCAGACUCAAUACAGGUUGUUCUGAUGUAGUAAGACUCUGCAGAAAUGUGUAUUUGAUUCAGACAUGGAAUGAGUUGAAUUCA